rnacentral:rRNA from 1 species
AGCUCCAAUAGCGUAUAUUUAAGUUGCUGCAGUUAAAAAGCUCGUAGUUGAAUUUAUGAAGAUAUUUUUAAAUAUUUAUUAUCUUAUAAAUGAUUUAUUAAUAUUCUUUACUAAUUGCUGCAUUUACACGAAUUGUUUUUCUACAUUUCGUUGUUCUUAUGUAGUUUGGUUACUGUGAGUAAAUUAGAAUGUUCAAAGUAGGCGGUCGCUAUGAAUAUAUUAGCAUGGAAUAACAUUAUAGUACUUCAAUCUAUUUUGCUGACCUGUUAGAAUGGAGUAACGAUUGAUAGGGACAGUUGGGGGCAUUCGUAUUUCAUUGUCAGAGGUGAAAUUCUUAGAUUGAUGAAAGACGAACUACUGCGAAGGCAUUUGUCAAGGAUGUUUUCAUUA